GAUGAACGCUGGCGGCGUGCCUAAUACAUGCAAGUCGAGCGAACAGAUGAGGAGCUUGCUCCUCUGACGUUAGCGGCGGACGGGUGAGUAACACGUGGAUAACCUACCUAUAAGACUGGGAUAACUUCGGGAAACCGGAGCUAAUACCGGAUAAUAUAUUGAACCGCAUGGUUCAAUAGUGAAAGACGGUUUUGCUGUCACUUAUAGAUGGAUCCGCGCCGCAUUAGCUAGUUGGUAAGGUAACGGCUUACCAAGGCAACGAUGCGUAGCCGACCUGAGAGGGUGAUCGGCCACACUGGAACGGAGACACGGUCCAGACUCCUACGGGAGGCAGCAGUAGGGAAUCUUCCGCAAAGGGCGAAAGCCUUACGGAGCAACGCCGCGUGAGUGAUGAAGGUCUUCGGAUCGUAAAACUCUGUUAUUAGGGAAGAACAAAUGUGUAAGUAACUAUGCACGUCUUGACGGUACCUAAUCAGAAAGCCACGGCUAACUACGUG
rnacentral:rRNA from 1 species